rnacentral:rRNA from 1 species
UAAGCAGGUAGUGAAAUUGUGUGGCUCAACCAUACACCCAUUAUCUGAACUGCUCAGCUAGAGCAUGGGAGAGGUCACUGGAAUUUCUAGUGUAGGAGUGAAAUCCGUAGAUAUUAGAAGGAACACCGAUGGCGUAGGCAGGUGACUGGCCCAUUGCUGACACUAAGGCACGAAAGCGUGGGGAGCGAACGGGAUUAGAUACCCCGGUAGUCCACGCCGUAAACGAUGGAUGCUA